rnacentral:rRNA from 1 species
UACGAAGGGGGCUAGCGUUGCUCGAAAUCACUGGGCGUAAAGCGCACGUAGGCGGACUCUUAAGUCGGUGGUGAAAUCCUGGAGCUCAACUCCAGAACUGCCUUCGAUACUGGGAGUCUCGAGUCCGAGAGAGGUGAGUGGAACUGCGAGUGUAGAGGUGAAAUUCGUAGAUAUUCGCAAGAACACCAGUGGCGAAGGCGGCUCACUGGCCCGUUACCGACGCUCAGGCGCGACAGCGUGGGGAGCAAACAGG